rnacentral:pre_miRNA from 1 species
AGAGGGAUAGCUGGGUCAAAUGGUAGCUCCAUUUCCAAUUUUCCAAGAAAUCUCCAUACUGCUUUCCAUAUUGGCUACACCAUUUUGCAGUCCCACAGCAGU